CUCAUGUGACCUUGGGUGAAUUAAUGGACAUCUCUGAACCUCCAUUUUCUCCUGUGUAAAAUAGCAGCUGCAGCAAAAAUGAAAUAUCAAUAAUCUCUGAAAAGAAUUUAGCUCAGUGUUUGGUGAAGAUUGCCUCUCCUGAAGUCUAGAAAAGGGCUGGUUUGUUUGGAAGGCUGUGCCACGUGGCAAGAAGAGAAUAAACAUCUUGGGAAUUCUGGCUGUGCUGUACAUUUGCUGUGUGGCCUUCGGCAAGCUACUGACUUCUCUGAACUCAGGAUCUACAAACUGAGGAUAAGCAACAGGAGAAUCUCUGUGAAGUACUUUAAAAACAGGAGAU
rnacentral:lncRNA from 1 species